CCGUAACCCGGACCUUAAGGGAGGGANCCGUCGAAGGUGGGUACCGUGAUUGGGGUG
rnacentral:rRNA from 1 species